rnacentral:rRNA from 1 species
AUCGAUGAAGAACGCAGCGAAAUGCGAUAAGUAAUGUGAAUUGCAGAAUUCAGUGAAUCAUCGAAUCUUUGAACGCACAUUGCGCCCCUUGGUAUUCCGGGGGGCAUGCCUGUUCGAGCGUCAUUUCAACCCUCAAGCUAUGCUUGGUCUUGGACACUGCCGGUAACGGCUUGUCUUAAAAUUAGUGGCGGUGCCAUUGAGCUCUACGCGUAGUAAUUAUAUUUUCGCUUUUGAGUCUCGGUGGACGCUUGCCAGCAACCCCCAAUUUUCUAUGGUUGACCUCGGAUCAGGUAGGGAUACCCGCUGAACUUAAGCAUAUCAAUAAGCGGAGGAAAAGAAACCAACAGGGAUUACCUCAGUAACGGCGAGUGAAGCGGUAACAGCUCAAAUUUGAAAUCUGGCUCUUUCAGGGUCCGAGUUGUAAUUUGUAGAAGAUGCUUCGGGUGUGGCUCCGGUCUAAGUUCCUUGGAACAGGACGUCAUAGAGGGUGAGAAUCCCGUAUGUGACUGGCUGCCUCCGCCCAUGUGAAGCUCUUUCGACGAGUCGAGUUGUUUGGGAAUGCAGCUCAAAAUGGGUGGUAUAUUUCAUCUAAAGCUAAAUAUUGGCCAGAGACCGAUAGCGCACAAGUAGAGUGAUCGAAAGAUGAAAAGCACUUUGGAAAGAGAGUUAAACAGUACGUGAAAUUGUUGAAAGGGAAGCGCUUGCAAUCAGACUUGCACGCUACCGAUCAUCCGGUGUUCUCACCGGUGCACUCGGUUGCGUUCAGGCCAGCAUCGGUUUGGGUGGUUGGAUAAAGGCCUUGGGAAUGUAGCUUCUUUCGGGGAGUGUUAUAGCCCUCGGUGCAAUGCAGCCUAUCCGGACCGAGGACCGCGCUUCGGCUAGGAUGCUGGCGUAAUGGUUGUAAGCGACCCGUCUUGAAACACGG